AGAAUUUCUUGACAUGAACUUCACUUAAUAGUGGAAAACAGAAUAGUGGACUAGUAAUAAGUGUGAACGUGUUACUGACAAAAAUGUGGGUAUUUUUUGGUUCAUUGUUUCUAUUGACUACAGGGACGUUUUCAGUUGAAGGCGAAAUAUCAUUUAUGCGUCAUGGAAUUCCACCCGCCAGGGAGACUGAUGAAACUAGAGCAUCUUCACCGGAAUGGGGUACAAUUAGUCAAAGAGUUGACCAUUUCAAUCCGGCUGACAAUAGAAUGUGGGAUAUGAGGUACAUACAAAAUAAUGAGUUUUAUGAAGAAGGUGGACCCAUGUUCGUGUUUAUAGGAGGUGAAUGGGUUAUUUCAAAAGGCUGGGCUACGUCGGGAUUUUUUCUUGACAUAGCUCGUUCACAUAAAGAUGCUUUUUUCUACACAGAACACAGAUUUUAUGGUGACAGUUAUCCUAUAUAGUAGUAGUUGCUGGUUCAUCAUAUGCAGGAAGUUUAGCGGCAUGGGCAAGAAUAAAAUAUCCUCACAAAAUAGACAUUGCUUACUCUUCUAGUGGUCCUUUACAUACCAAAGCUGAUUUCCCAGAAUAUUUUGCUGCUGUGGAAGAAAGUCUACGCCUUGCAUCCCCGACUUGUCCACAACUAAUCAGAAGAGCCAUGGCUGAUGCAAUGAAAAUGCUAGAAACUCGAGAGGGUGCUGCCACUUUAUCGGAAUUAUUUAAUACCUGUGAGCCUCUAAAAGGUCCAGUAGAACCAGACAGAUCUUAUUUCCUUACCAGUCUUUCAUCACCAUUUGCGGAUGUAGUUCAAACUGCGGAUCCUGGCGAUUUGGUGGCCGAGUGUGAACGUCUGGAGAAUAACACAGGAUCUGACUUAGAAAAGUUAGCUAAGUACAUAAAACCACUACAGUAUUGCAUAUGGACUUACGAUUUGUUUAAAGAGUAUUAUUCUGAAACACACGCCAUAGGAGUAAGAAUGAGAAGUAAGUAGAUAUUGCUUACACCUCUCUGACUCACUCGAGUACUAGUAACUUUUAGACAGUUCUAUGUACUCGUUCCUCUUUAAUAAAAUGAGUGUAAACUGUCAAAAUGAUUCACAAAUUCACACAUUAAAAAAUUCACUUUCAUUUCUAGCAUCUAUUGAAAGUAAACGUACA